CACAGAAAAAGGCAAACCAUUCGAAAGAAUGGGACGCAAAGUCAAGAGUCUAACACACCGAUAUUCAGGUGUCAUGAUCGUCCGGCUGCCGAG
rnacentral:ncRNA from 1 species